AAGCUCACCAAGUUGGUUUAUUGUGCGUGGUUUGAGGUGUAACAUUGACUCCAAUGAUUUGUGUUCAUGAAAUUGUCGAAAGUCCCCACCAAUUGCUGAUAUUAGUGAUAUUUGUUUCCAAGUAGAGGCAGCAAAAUUGUGAUUGCUAUUCCGUGAAGUAAUCAUCUUUUAGUGACUGCAUGAUAGGUUUUAUGAAAUACUGAAGGUCUCAAAGGCAAUUGUAAUAUUAGCCUAGCUUUGUAUACUACUUUUUGUGGGGAAAUAUUACAAUGUACUUCAGCUCCAUUCUUGUGUUGGUUCCUUGAAUGACCUGCAUCAGUGUUGAUAGUUGAUG
rnacentral:misc_RNA from 1 species